AUGAGUUCAAGACAGUUUGACAAGCCAAUGAAAAUAACUUUCCAUUUCACUCUGGGUGUGCUGACCCCUGCGAUUUCCCCAAAUGUGGGAAGCUUGACUGCAUAAUUUGUGGUAGGUUUAGGAUAGGUUAGGCUGAGA